CAUUUCCUGUUCAUAACCAAAAAAAAAGAAAAAACCUCUCUCUCGUCGAGUACUCUCUGAUUCUCUCUCCACCUUCAUGCCCUAAAUCUCUUUGUUAAUCUCCAAAUCCCAGUUUAUCAUUUCUCCUUUUGCUCUGAUUUUCUCUCUUCUCUCUUCUCUCUUCUUUCACUCUCCCUCUCCAAAUCCCAAAUCCUAGUUCGUCAUCCUCAAAGCGAAACCAGGUCUCCCAGUUUCGACACAAUAUUUUUCCCCCAAAUCAGAAUCGGAUCUAGGUCUCCAUUUGCGGACGAGUAAAUCAGUAGCAAGCAGUGUGCUGCCAAUAGCUUUGGAUCUUUGAUAGUAAUGGCUGGAUCUACCUUUUGGUAUGCUCCUUAAUUUGUCUCAGGAGCAGAGGAGGAUAUGGCGCAAUUGAUUGAUAUGAUGAUGCUCGGAGGCGGAGGAGGAGGCGGGCUGGCGUUGUUUACUUUUGGGGUCGUGGGUUUGAAUAAUAACGAAACGAUAUCUGCAAUGGUUUGAACUUUGAAGGUGUAGAAGAAGAAGACACUUAACGCUUAAGGUGAUUUCGUUUCGAUAAUCCUUAGUGUAGUGUAGUAGACUGAGAUAUUUUGCUUUUGUUUCUUCUUCGUCUUACUGUUUUAAAUCUUUAUGGAUCGGAUUGGAUGGACUUUGCUUAUUGACUCUGUUUUGUUUACUCCACAGAAACGAUGAAUAUUUGCUUAACUUUCUUCUAAUGUUUGGAAGAAUAUGUUCCGUGGCUGAAGGGUAUGUUUUGUUAAGCUGAUCGUUUAGGUCAAUUGAGCCUGUCUUGGUGUACAUGUCUAAGGUGGAUGGGAAGUUCCACUUCAGUCCUAUUAGCGUCAACUAAGUGAAGACUGAGAUUUUGGUUCACUUUCGGCACCAUAUCCUCCGCCUCCUUUGGAUCAAUAAUUGCACCAUAUCCUCCUAUGCUCUUCGAAUCUAGGUCUCCCUUUUGGUUUUGGUAUGCUCCUAAGUCUGCAUUGGUUCAGAGUUCAGUAUCCUGAAGAUUAUCAAGGCCUGUCAUAUGAGGACCUUAAGGAAUUCAAGCAGACUAGAUAUGGUAAUAAAAGUUGUGUGCCAAUUGUCAAAAAAAGAAAAAGACUAUUAGUUGUGUGCCUAUACAACAUUAGUUUAACUUUUUACGGUAGGGAUCCUAAAUUGCCUCUAUAUAUCAUCAUCAUCAUGCUAGUUGUGCUUGUAUAGAGUAUGUAUAAAACUAUAAAUUAAUUAAGAAACACAGCUUAUACAAA